rnacentral:lncRNA from 1 species
UGGGCUUCAGCUUAAGCAGCCCACUGGCAAGUGAUGGCCCAAGAUAGUAGCAGCCCAAGGGCAAAUGUAUUUAAGCUGUGUAAAUGACUUUGUAUAGAGUACAGGGACACAAAUGUAAUUACACACACACACAUUACAUUUUAUUAUUACAAUUUUGUAUAUACACGGCGAAGCUUCGAGAGGAGAUCAGAUCAAUCAAUUACAACUUUUUCAUUUCUCACUUUUUCUCUCUUCUCUUUCCUCUCUACUGUUCAUCAUCUUCUCCACUUCUUUUCUUCAAUCCGAUGAGUUAAACUGUUAACAUGGUAUCAGAGCGGGUAUAUUCCGGUUCUACUCAUCACGAGCUUUCGACCGAUGUUACCCUCACCGGCUUUCAUUCAAGUUUCUGUUGAUUCACAAAAUUAGGGUUUUCGAUUCGGUUAGUUUUUCGUCAAAAUUUCAUUCAAGUUUCUAUUGAUUCACAAAAUUAGGGUUUUCGAUUCGGUUAGUUUUUCGUCAAAUUGCUUGUAUUUUUGUUGUUAAAAUUGUUGCAUGUUGUGUAAACAUCAGAGGCUGUAAUUUUUUGUUU